rnacentral:rRNA from 1 species
CAUGCAAGUCGAACGGCAGCACGGGGGCAACCCUGGUGGCGAGUGGCGAACGGGUGAGUAAUAUAUCGGAACGUGCCCUGGAGUGGGGGAUAACUAGUCGAAAGAUUGGCUAAUACCGCAUACGAUCUAAGGAUGAAAGUGGGGGAUCGCAAGACCUCAUGCUCCUGGAGCGGCCGAUAUCUGAUUAGCUAGUUGGUGGGGUAAAAGCCUACCAAGGCGACGAUCAGUAGCUGGUCUGAGAGGACGACCGGCCACACUGGGACUGAGACACGGCCCAGACUCCUACGGGAGGCAGCAGUGGGGAAUAUUGCACAAUGGGCGAAAGCCUGAUGCAGCGACGCCGCGUGAGGGAUGACGGCCUUCGGGUUGUAAACCUCUUUCAGCAGGGACGAAGCGCAAGUGACGGUACCUGCAGAAGAAGCACCGGCUAACUACGUGCCAGCAGCCGCGGUAAUACGUAGGGUGCAAGCGUUAAUCGGAAUUACUGGGCGUAAAGCGUGCGCAGGCGGUUGUGCAAGACAGAUGUGAAAUCCCCGGGCUCAACCUGGGAAUGGCAUUUGUGACUGCACGGCUAGAGUGUGUCAGAGGGGGGUAGAAUUCCACGUGUAGCAGUGAAAUGCGUAGAUAUGUGGAGGAAUACCGAUGGCGAANGCAGCCCCCUGGGAUAACACUGACGCUCA